GACAGUGUGGUGUAGUGGUUUGAGUGCUGGACUACAACUCUGCAAACUAGGGUUCAAAUCCCUAUUUGGCCA
rnacentral:tRNA from 1 species